AUUGAACGCUGGCGGCAGGCCUAACACAUGCAAGUCGAGCGGGGUUUUCGGACCUAGCGGCGGACGGGUGAGUAAUGCGUAGGAAGCUACCCGAUAGAGGGGGAUACCAGUUGGAAACGACUGUUAAUACCGCAUAAUGUCUACGGACCAAAGUGUGGGACCUUCGGGCCACAUGCUAUCGGAUGCGCCUACGUGGGAUUAGCUAGUUGGGGAGGUAAUGGCUCACCAAGGCGACGAUCCCUAGCUGGUUUGAGAGGAUGAUCAGCCACACUGGAACUGAGACACGGUCCAGACUCCUACGGGAGGCAGCAGUGGGGAAUAUUGGACAAUAGGCGCAAGCCUGAUCCAGCCAUGCCGCGUGUGUGAAGAAGGCCUUCGGGUUGUAAAGCACUUUCAGUAGGGAGGAAGCGUUGUGUGUUAAUAGUACACAGCGUUGACGUUACCUACAGAAGAAGCACCGGCUAACUCUGUGCCAGCAGCCGCAGUAACAC
rnacentral:rRNA from 1 species